rnacentral:snRNA from 1 species
GAACAUACCUGGCAAGGGUGAUUCCAUAAUCAUGAAAGUGGUUUCCCCAGGGUAAGACAUAUCCAUUACAUUCCCCUGCGAUUUCCCCAAAUGCAGGAAUCUUUACUGCAUAAUUUGUGAUAGUUUUUGUAAGUAUCCCUAUUCAUCAU